GACAGAGGGUGCAAACGUUGUUCGGAAUCACUGGGCGUAAAGCGCGUGUAGGUGGUGCGACAAGUCUGCUGUGAAAGCGCCUGGCUUAACCGGGCGAGGUCGGCGGAAACUGACGUACUGGAGGCCGGUAGAGGGGGGUGGAAUUCCCGGUGUAGUGGUGAAAUGCGUAGAGAUCGAGAGGAACACCGGUGGCGAAGGCGGCCAACUGGACGAAUACUGACGCUGAGACUCGAAAGCGUGGGGAGCAAACAGG
rnacentral:rRNA from 1 species